AUUGAACACUGGCGGCAGGCUUAACACAUGCAAGUCGAGCGGGGUGAUGGUGCUUGCACUAUCACUUAGCGGCGGACGGGUGAGUAAUGCUUAGGAAUCUGCCUAUUAGUGGGGGACGACAUCUCGAAAGGGAUGCUAAUACCGCAUACGUCCUACGGGAGAAAGCAGGGGAUCACUUGUGACCUUGCGCUAAUAGAUGAGCCUAAGUCGGAUUAGCUAGUUGGUGGGGUAAAGGCCUACCAAGGCGACGAUCUGUAGCGGGUCUGAGAGGAUGAUCCGCCACACUGGGACUGAGACACGGCCCAGACUCCUACGGGAGGCAACAGUGGGGAAUAUUGGACAAUGGGGGGAACCCUGAUCCAGCCAUGCCGCGUGUGUGAAGAAGGCCUUAUGGUUGUAAAGCACUUUAAGCGAGGAGGAGGCUCUUUUGGUUAAUACCCAAGAUGAGUGGACGUUACUCGCAGAAUAAGCACCGGCUAACUCUGUGCCAGCAGCCGCCGUAA
rnacentral:rRNA from 1 species